CUUGUUUGGGCCGGCCUGUUUAUUUCCUGUUCGCUGUCCCCCUUCCUCCCUCGACCGCUUCAUUCGUUGUCUACAGAGAAGCUUUCCCUUUCUCCUUCGUGCCUGGAUCCCCUUUUCCUCCGUCGUUCGGCCGCUUUUAUCACCUGCUUCUUCCUCCGGGAUCCUACUCCGGCAAGAGACCGCCGACCUCGUCGCCGGUGUCUCCAGCGUCGGCGUCUGCAUCGUCUAGGGUUCCGACAAGGUCGGCGUCGUCUAGGGUUCCGACAAAGUCGGCGUAGUCUAGGUCCCCGUCAAGCUUCGUCAAGCUCGGCGUCGACAAGGUGCGAUGGGCGGAGGCAGCGACGGGGAGUGGAGCUCGUUUGGAUUGUAAACCAGAAGCUGUCCUCGGCAUCCCGAGCUUGAUUGCCGCCUUGGAAGCCCAUCCUGCACACGGGGGUAGGCGCGGACGUGAGGCUCCAGGGUGCUACUACCGCGUAUGGCCGGCCCCGUAGUCCCGUGGAUAAGCAGCGGUAGGGACAUACAUAGACUGAAAUAUGAACUCAACUGAACAUCUGGACUCCUGAAUCCGUGCAUAAUGUCAUGUGGAGCGUUUUUUAUUUGAUUUGGAUGUUUCUGAGAUUAGACAAGGGGUUGUGUUUAGAGAUUUCGGAUUCAGAGGUAUGAUUCAGCAUGCUAUUGUUAGGAGGUUGUGUAUUCUGGCACUUGGCCUUGGGAUUUUUGCUUUUGUUUCUUGAUGAUCGUAGGGUGGUUUGUGUAGGUUGACGUAGAAGUUUUUCUAUGUUUUAAAAAUCUUACGUUUAUUUUACGAAUUUUGUAGCAGCAACAUGGAUUAGUUCUUGAGACUUGUUAGCAUGUAUAUUAGGUUUUCUUCUAUUCAGCCGGUGGUAUGCAUGCAUCUAUUAACAUUUAGGUCGCUUGUCCAUAUUAUAGGCUGGAGUAGUUUUGUAAAUGCUAGGCCAUGAAUUUAUUCACAUGUUUGUAUUGAUAAACGAUGCAUGUGUUGCAUCCUACCCGCACGACUUUGUUAUUUUAAUGUUGAAAAGUUUUCUUUAAUUUGCAUUUGAUGCCGUGAAUAGUCCUUUGCUUGCACAGUAGAGUGUUCUGGUGUUUUAGGUAAUUUCCUCUGUUGCUCUAGGAGCAGCACUACCAAUUUUUUUUCACACUAUAUUUGUGAAAUUAUACAAAUAAGAAUUCUGUGGUUAAUUGCAGCAUUUUGGGUGGACAUAGUUAGUUAACAAUGAUUUUGUAGUAUGGUGUCAUUCAUCUACCAUACUUCUGUAUCAUUUUCCUUGCAAGUAUUAUCAUAACAUGAUAAUUCGUGGUGUUCUUGUCCUCUGUGUUGCUUAGCUCUUAUUUGUUUGGGCACACACACAAAAGCAGAACUUGCCUAGCAAUCCCUUUUAAGUACUAACAUAGUUGUUUGAUCUUUUUACUGUAAUUGAUAUAGUUUGUUGACCUUUUUUCUAUCCUAAUGUAUUUAAUGUUUUCAUUAUCAUGCUUUCUUCUGUGAAUAGCACAACUAUCAGUGAUUCUAAAUACUUGAAUUAUGGUCCUUGAAUAACACUUGAAUAAUGUUCCUUGGAAAAUGUUUCUCUACAUACUUGAAUUAUGUCCCCUAAUAAUGUUCACUUCGAAAUGUUCAUUCAAUAAUGUUCCUUGGAAAAUGUUCCGCCAAUGACGUUCCCUACGAAAUUGUUCCUUCAAUAUUUGAUCCCUAAAUUAUGCCCCUUUCAAUAUGUUCCCUAAAUAAUGUUCCUUGGAAAUUGUUCAUCGAAUAAUGUUCCCUAAAUACUUGAAUUAUGUUCCUUGAAUAACACCUGAAUAAUGUUCCUUGGAAAUAGUUCCCUAAAUAAUGUUCCGCCAAUAAUGAUCCCUACAAAAUUGUUCCUUCAAUAUUUGGUCCCUAAAUUAUGCCCAUUUCAAUAAUGUUUCCUAAAUAAUGUUCCGUGGAAAUUGUUCACCGAAUAAUGUUCCCUAAAUACUUGAAUUAUGUCCCCUAAUAGUGUUCACUUGGAACUAUUCCUUCGAUAAAGUUUUCCGCUCAAUAUUUUGUGAUCCCUAAAUAAUGUUCCGCCAAUAGUAUUCCGCCAAUAAUGUUCCCUACAAAAUUGUUCUUUUCAUUUUUUCUUUCAUAAAUAAUUUUCCUUUGAAACUGUUCCCUAAAUAGUGUCCCCUAAAUACUUGAAUAAUGUCCCCUAAUAAUGUUCAUUUCGAAAUGUUCCUUUGAAUAAUGUUUCUUCAAUAUUUUGGACCCUUUGUUCAAAUAGUGUUCGCUAAAUAAUGAUACUUGAAAAAAGUUUCCCUAAUCUCUUUAAUGUUCACUUCAAAUUGUUCCUUCUAUAAUGUU